GAAGAAAACACCCUGUAUAGAAACCAUUAAAGAAAACACUCUGCUACAGCUCUGUCAAAGUAUUGCAAGUAGAUUAAAUAACUGCUUGGUCUACCAGAGAGCUCUUGGCGCAAUUUGACCACCACUCACCUUAACUUUACUAAGAAGUUUAUCAGAAACAGCAGAAGAGGGUCCCAGAUCCUAUACUCCCAAGCUUCCCACUCAUCACACCCACCAGCAGCUCCAGAUGUCUUCCCCUCUCCAUUACCAAAGCAGUUGCACAGUAAUUUCAUGGAGUGGAUGAAUAUCACCCAGCCGACGGUGUGGACAAACAGAACAAAUUGGAUUAACUAUUCUCAGGAUUUGGGUUACAUAUGAAGAACAUGCAAGAUUGUUGCAGGCACCAUGUAUGACCCUGGUACUAGGCUUCUCAUGUGGAAGCCAGGCAUUAGCUUCGCUCCCUCCCAGAAAACAUGGCAACUUGCACCAUGGUGGGUUGAAUCUGUUGACAAAGAAGAUUCCAAAGAUUGUCUGAAGUCCACAUGAGACACUGUCAGGAGAAAGAAAUGAAAGCACUGAAAAGGCUUAGGAGGAUGCUGAGAAACAGAAUGAUUUCAACAGUGAUUCAAGCCUCCUGCUUCAAUCAAACUGGCCCAGGGACUAUAUCGGGUCAGAUGGAUCGCUACCUUUCUAUCUUUGCUAACGCUAGAAUGUACUCCUCUUCAUCUUACGUUUGUCAACUUUCUGAAAGUGGUAAUGACAUGUAA
rnacentral:lncRNA from 1 species